rnacentral:rRNA from 1 species
ACUCAAAUGAAUUGACGGGGGCCCGCACAAGCGGUGGAGCAUGUGGUUCAAUUCGACGCAACGCGAAGAACCUUACCAGCUUUUGACAUGCCUCGUAUGAGCACCAGAGAUGGAGCUCUUCACUUCGGGUGGCGAGGACACAGGUGCUGCAUGGCUGUCGUCAGCUCGUGUCGUGAGAUGUUGGGUUAAGUCCCGCAACGAGCGCAACCCUCGUCCCUAGUUGCCAUCAUUCAGUUGGGCACUCUAGGGAGACUGCCGGUGAUAAGCCGCGAGGAGGGUGGGGAUGACGUCAAGUCCUCAUGGCCCUUACAGGCUGGGCUACACACGUGCUACAAUGGCGGUGACAAUGGGAUGCGAAGGGGCGACCCGGAGCUAAUCUCAAAAAGCCGUCUCAGUUCGGAUUGCACUCUGCAACUCGAGUGCAUGAAGUUGGAAUCGCUAGUAAUCGUGGAUCAGCAUGCCACGGUGAAUACGUUCCCGGGCCUUGCACACACCGCCCGU